rnacentral:tRNA from 1 species
GCCGGGGUAGCUCAAUCGGUAGAGCGUGUGGCUCUUAUCAUCUACGAUAUAUCACAACCUCAAGGUCGCGGGUUCGAGCCCCGCCUUCGGCU